AGCCACUUGAUCACCCACCACUUAUAAUAGUAAUGACUUACAUUUGUGAACACUUAAGCGACCAUUACAUCAGCUGCGUGCCGCCCUUUGCAGUCAAGGUCACGUCCACUAGCUGGUACAUCCCUCCUUUGAAGAGGUGGCACAUGACAUUGUGGCGAGGGGACGUGCAGGCACUGCUGAGCCUCCUCAGCUCACUGAGGAGGCCCGGGGGGGCACCGGGCUCACUGGGAGUGGAUGGGAGCCCUUAGUCAGCAAUAUCAUUAUUAUUACCUGCCUUUAACAAGGAGAGGAGAGGUUAACUGAUGUGCACAGUCCCCCGGCUGGUGGAUGAUGGCCAGCUGAACUCUGCAAUCCUAGGCGGAGGCGGUCAAAUGAUUCUCCACCCUCUCCAUCAUGCCAAUGCUGGAGAAUCCCCAGCAAUACAUUGCAAGUGUGUCUGAAUCUUCUGUGUAUGUGUUCGUCUCCCUCCCCAGCCGGCUCCACUCCUCUUACCUCACUCCAGGCUGGGAGCCCCAGUGGCUAGAGACAGUCUUAUUAACCUUAGGAUUCCACUGAGGAGCUCAGAGUGGGUGCCCAGUAAUUACAGGGAGUUAUUGACGGGGGUCCCCUCUUUACCAAGCCACUGCUUCCUUGGGACCAGGGGCAUGACACUGGUUACAUACUUCCCACGGCCCUGCUCUUCUUCCUUCAGGUCACAAAUUCCGAGGGCCUCUGGAAGGAGUCAAGAAAGGAAGGGCAGAUACUUGGGUGGGACAGAAGAGGAGAGGUUGAAGACAGGAUUAAGGCGGUAAAAUACAAAACACAUACUUACACAAAUAACAUUGUUUUGGCAUCAGCAGUGCUGGCAUUUACUGUGAUGGGUGGGUCCCUAAAAUUAAAGUUGAUUGGGGAAGGGGUCAGGGCAGGGACAGGUUCAGAGUCAAGAUACUCAGGGCAGUGCUGAAUGAGUCUUAGAACACUAGCACGUAGGAGCAGCAUUCCACAGUGUUGAAUUUGUUGAACUGAAUCUGGAAGGACCUUGAUCAUCUAGUUAUUUCUAACCAGGUGUGCUUUCCGAGUUUCCGGAGUCUCCCCUCUUAGCAACUGGCUUGCCAAGGCUCCCAGAGGGCCCGCUCCGUCCAAGGUCACUGCAUAGUUGGGGGCUGAGCCAGCAAUCCCACAGUUCUCUCCACUUGGAGCCCAUUCCAGCUCUUCAGGCGGAUUGGACAGCACCUCCUAGGCCAGUCUGGGGGACCCUCAGUCCAGAACACUCAUUAUCAGAGAGAGUGCCUGGCACUGUUGUUCUCUGUUUAGUUUCCUCCCAGCCCAGUGCCUAGCACAUAGCUGGAGCUCCAUGAUUUGCUUUUAUUGUUUUCUGUCUUAUUCUUGGUGAGCAGAUAUGCCUGGGCCUCGGUCCAGUUGAUCUUCAUUUCACGUUCUCCAGUGAGCUGAGCAGGCACAGGGCUGGAGAAGUGAGGAACGGAAGGAUGCCCCUGCCUUUCUCACUAUGACCUGAGUUUCGAAGCAACGUCCUGUGACAACGAGAGAACUGGCUUGGGGCCAGUUGUCUAUUGCUGUGUGGUCUGAGCCGGUCUCAUAACCAUUCUGUUUCCCAGCCUGUAAAAUGUGGCUGGCACCCGGGGUGGACAUGAGGAUCCCACCUGCCAAGGUAUUGCUGGAGGCUCACCAUACAAACCCAAGGUUUGUUAGUACUAUCCUUAGUGUUCCUAUCAAUACCUCACUCUGCCCAACUGC
rnacentral:lncRNA from 1 species